UACGUAGGGUGCAAGCGUUGUCCGGAAUUAUUGGGCGUAAAGAGCUCGUAGGCGGUCUGUCGCGUCGGCUGUGAAAACCCGAGGCUCAACCUCGGGCCUGCAGUCGAUACGGGCAAACUAGAGUACUGCAGGGGAGACUGGAAUUCCUGGUGUAGCGGUGAAAUGCGCAGAUAUCAGGAGGAACACCGGUGGCGAAGGCGGGUCUCUGGGCAGUAACUGACGCUCAGGCACGAAAGCGUGGGGAGCAAAAGGG
rnacentral:rRNA from 1 species